rnacentral:rRNA from 1 species
UACGUAGGGGGCAAGCGUUGUCCGGAUUUAUUGGGCGUAAAGAGCGUGUAGGCGGCCAGGUAGGUCUGCUGUGAAAACUCGAGGCUCAACCUCGAGAUGUCGGCGGAAACCAUCUGGCUAGAGUCCGGAAGAGGAGAAUGGAAUUCCCGGUGUAGCGGUGAAAUGCGCAGAUAUCGGGAAGAACACCCGUGGCGAAGGCGGUUCUCUGGGACGGUACUGACGCUGAGACGCGAAAAGCGUGGGGGAGCGAACCGG